GCUGGGCACGAUGGUGCAUGCCUCUAAUCCCAGUGUCUUGGGAGGCUGAGACAGGAGGAUUGCGAGUUCAAAGCCGGCCUCAGCAACAGUAAGGCACUAAGCAACUCAGUGAGACCCUGUCUCUA
rnacentral:sRNA from 1 species